rnacentral:rRNA from 1 species
UAGCCAUGCAUGUCUAAGUACAUACCUUCAAACGGUGAAACCGCGAAUGGCUCAUUAAAUCAGCUAUGGUUCCUUAGAUCGUACCUACUACAUGGAUAACUGUAGUAAUUCUAGAGCUAAUACAUGCCACUAUGCCCUGACCCGCAAGGGGAUGGGUGGAUUUAUUAGAACAGAACCAACCAGUUGUGGCUUCGGCUGCUUCUGUUGCAUUCUGUGAUGACUCUGGAUAACUUCACUGAUCGCAGUCGGCCUUGUGUCGGCGACGGAUCUUUCAAAUGUCUGCCCUAUCAAUUUUCGAUGGUAGGUGAUCUGCCUACCAUGGUUAUAACGGGUAACGGGGAAUCAGGGUUCGAUUCCGGAGAGGGAGCCUGAGAAACGGCUACCACUUCCAAGGAAGGCAGCAGGCGCGCAAAUUACCCAAUCCCGGCACGGGGAGGUAGUGACGAAAAAUACAGAUACGGGACUCGAAUGAGGCUCCGUAAUUCGAAUGAGAACAAUUUAAAUCCUUUAACGAGGAUCAACUGGAGGGCAAGUCUGGUGCCAGCAGCCGCGGUAACUCCAGCUCCAGAAGCGUAUAUUAAAGUUGUUGCAGUUAAAAAGCUCGUAGUUGGAUCUGGGUCGUAUGGCUAUGUACCGUCGCUCGUGAGCCUGGCUUGGUUACGACUGGGUCGAGUUCAUGGGUCGGUGUCGUGGCUGUGCAGCCUUUCUGCCGUGUCUGUCUCAGGACAGGUGUCGGCCUUAUCGGCGGGCUUGUCUCGUCGGUUGGUCGGCAUGUACUUUGAUGCCUUUGAACGGGUGUCGGGUGCGGACGGUGCGUUUACUUUGAACAAAUUUGAGUGCUCAAAGCAGGCUUGUGCCUGAAAAGUUUUGCAUGAAAUAAUGGAAUAGGACUUCGGUUCUAUUUUGUUGGUUUUCGGAUCCGAAGUAAUGUUAAGAGGGACAGACGGGGGCAUUUGUAUGGCGGUGUUAGAGGUGAAAUUCUUGGAUCGCCGCCAGACAAACUACAGCGAAAGCAUUUGCCAAGG